rnacentral:rRNA from 1 species
AUUGAACGCUGGCGGCAGGCCUAACACAUGCAAGUCGAGCGAGCGGCGGACGGGUGAGUAAUGUCUGGGAAACUGCCCGUUGGAGGGGGAUAACUACUGGAAACGGUAGCUAAUACCGCAUACCAUCAGAUGUGCCCAGAUGGGAUGAGCUAGUAGGGGGGGUAACGGCUCACCCAGGCGACGAUCCCUAGCUGGUCUUAGAGGAUGACCAGCGACACGGGAACUGAGACACGGGCCAGAGUCGUACGGGAGGCAGAAGUGGGGAAUAGUGGACAAUGGGAGAAAGCCUGAUGCAGCAAAGCCGCGUGUGUGAAGAAGGCAUUCGGGUUGUAAAGCACUUUCAGCGGGGAGGCGUUACCCGCAGAAGAAGCACCGGCUAACUCCGUGCCAGCAGCCGCGGUAAUUC